rnacentral:rRNA from 1 species
CCUACGGGAGGCAGCAGUGGGGAAUAUUGCACAAUGGGGGAAACCCUGAUGCAGCAACGCCGCGUGAGUGAAGAAGUAUUUCGGUAUGUAAAGCUCUAUCAGCAGGGAAGAAGAUGACGGUACCUGAGUAAGAAGCCCCGGCUAACUACGUGCCAGCAGCCGCGGUAAUACGUAGGGGGCAAGCGUUAUCCGGAUUUACUGGGUGUAAAGGGAGCGUAGACGGUGGGACAAGUCUGAAGUGAAAGCCCGGGGCUCAACCCCGGGACUGCUUUGGAAACUGCCUGACUGGAGUGCUGGAGAGGCAAGCGGAAUUCCUAGUGUAGCGGUGAAAUGCGUAGAUAUUAGGAAGAACACCAGUGGCGAAGGCGGGUUGCUGGACAGUAACUGACGUUGAGGCUCGAAAGCGUGGGGAGCAAACAGGAUUAGAUACCCUUGUAGUC